rnacentral:rRNA from 1 species
AGGGUUUGAUUCUGGCUCAGGACGAACGCUGGCGGCGUGCUUAACACAUGCAAGUCAAGGAGAACGUAUUCUUCGGAAUACUAUUAAACUGGCGAACGGGUGAGUAACGCGUAGGUAACUUGCCUUAAAGUUUGGGAUAACUUUGGGAAACUGAAGCUAAUACCGGAUAAUGCAGUUAAUUCUCAGGUGUAUACUGUUAAAGCGGGCUUCGGCUCGCGCUUUAAGAUAGGCCUGCGUCCGAUUAGUUUGUUGGUGAGGUAACGGCUCACCAAGGCGAUGAUCGGUAGCUGGUUUGGGAGGAUGAUCAGCCACACUGGGAUUGAGAUACGGCCCAGACUCCUACGGGAGGCAGCAGUGGGGAAUUUUGCACAAUGGGCGAAAGCCUGAUGCAGCAACGCCGCGUGACCGAUGAAGCUUUUCGGAGUGUAAAGGUCUGUCGUGAGGGAAGAACAACUUGGAUGCAAAUAGUGUUUGAGUCUGACGGUACCUCACAAGAAAGCACCGGCUAACUUCGUGCCAGCCGCCGCGGUAAUAC